UACAUCACUUGCAAACUACAUUCAAAUCCAAAUCCCAGAAGAUGCUUUCGACUCGUCUUAUCAUUUUGUUCGUGCUUGUGGCGGUGUUCACUGCUCAAGCAUUAGCUGGUUGCAGAAAUUCAUGUAAUCGUGAUUGCAAUGACUUCAUGUGUGAUUUGUGUUGCGGCAAUAGAUUCGGGUUCCCUUGCAUAGACACUAUGAGAAGAGCGUGCUGUUGAAGUCAGUUUACAAAAAUUCCUCAUAAAUAAUUUGAUUGUUUAUGUGAUAUUUACUUGAAUAAAACACAUUUCAAACA